GACGAACGCUGGCGGCGUGCCUGACACAUGCAAGUCGGACGGUUCUUGCGCCUUCAAGCUUGCUUGUUGGUUCGAGGAUAGUGGCGGACGGGUGAGUAACGCGUGAACACCUACCCAUUGGAGGGGUACAACCCGUCGAAAGGCGGGCUAAUACCGCGUAAGCCGUGAGGUGAAAGGCUGCCUUUUGGUGGCUGCCGACGGAUGGGUUCGCGUCCUAUCAGCUUGUUGGUGGGGUAAGGGCCUACCAAGGCUAAGACGGGUAGCCGGUCUGAGAGGAUGGCCGGCCACACUGGAACUGAGACACGGUCCAGACUCCUACGGGAGGCAGCAGUGGGGAAUAUUGGGCAAUGGGGGGAACCCUGACCCAGCGACGCCGCGUGAGGGACGAAGGUUUUCGGAUCGUAAACCUCUGUUGUACGGGAAGAAGGAUGUGACGGUACCGUACGAGUAAGCCCCGGCAAACUACGUG
rnacentral:rRNA from 1 species